rnacentral:lncRNA from 10 species
GGGGAGGUCUGGCCUGGAGGGGAAAAUUAAGGGGCUGAUUAAAGUGAGGCUGACCCUGAAAAAUGAACAGUAUUCCAUCCACAUAAGACAGAAAGCUCAGGAGACGUUAUUAGUCAUGGUCCCCACCCAAUGACAGUGACUUGUCCACCAUGGAGAUGCUGACUGCGGUGAUGGAGUGGAAAUGAGCCCCAGGCCAGGCACCCACCCAGCUCCACCCUGAGCAGCUGCAUGUGGUUGAGCAGGUCCUUUAACUUCUUUGGGCCAGCCUCUUUAAAUUGUCAGUAAAAUUGUCAUGAGGAUUAAAUGAGCCUCACUUUUUUCAUCUGCAAAAUGGUAACAACGACACUUUCCCUAGAGGGGCCAUGAAGAUGAAAUGAAAUAAUAAGCAUGACGGAUGGUCCUGGUGCUAGCCUCACAGUGAGUGCUCAAGAA